rfam:Solanum lycopersicum cultivar Heinz 1706 chromosome 3, whole genome shotgun sequence.
GGCGACAUGGCCGAGUGGUAAGGCAGAGGACUGCAAAUCCUUUUUUCCCCA